CUUCGGGAAUGAGUAGAGCGGCGGACGGGUGAGUACAAUAUGGAUAACCUACCCACAGGUCCGGGAUAACUUGGGGAAACCGAAGCUAAUACCGGAUAAGACCACGACAACUGCGGUUGUUGAGGUAAAAGUUUUUCGCCUAUGGAUGGGUCCAUGCUCCAUCAGGUUGUUGGUGAGGUAAAAGCUCACCAAGCCUAAGACGGAUAGCUGGCCUUAGCGGGUGAUCAGCCACACGGGGACUGAGACACGGCCCCGACUCCUACGGGAGGCAGCAGUGAGGAAUCUUGGGCAAUGGGCGCAAGCCUGACCCAGCCAUGCCGCGUGAGGGAAGAAGGCUUUCGAGUCGUAAACCUCUGUCAGGGGGGACGAUGGGACUUUUGUCUUGACGGUACCUCCAAAGGAAGCCCCGGCUAACUCCGUGCCAGCAGCCGCGGUAAUACGGAGGGGGGCAAGCGUUGCUCGGAUUUACUGGGCGUAAAGGGUCCGCAGGCGGUCGGGCAAGUUAGAUGUGAAAGUUCAAGACUCAAUCUUGGAAUUGCAUCUAAAACUGCUUGACUA
rnacentral:rRNA from 1 species